GAAGAUGGGCACGGAUGUUAGCUCAGGGACAGUCUUCUUCAGCAAAAAAAGAGGAGGAUUGGCAGUAGUUAGCUCAGGGCUAAUCUUCCUCAAAAAAAAAAAAAACAACUAAAAAAUGAGGUGAAGCCGUGGGUACGUUUAGCCGUGACAGGGACAACGCAAGCCGAGCCGGCCCCAAACACCAGCUGUCUCCCCCCAGAGUCCUGGUAAAACUCCUUGCAAGGAGGCGUGGGAGUCAGAAGAGGAGGGUGAAGACGCCACCUGCUGGGCCCUGCCUGAGGCUUAGCGCCGACUGUGUCUCGAAGGAUUAUGUCCUCUUCUUCCCCUCUGUGGCCAGCAGGAUUUUAAAAGCCCCCGAAUUCCUGCCCGCCCCCUGCCAAGGAACACACCCUGUCGACUAACCCCCGUGUGCGGACAGGACCUGUGAACACGGGCAGGGCCCACAGUGAAGUGAGAGGCUGGAGGUGUGAGGGGGCCUACGGAGGAGACCAAGCGGCCAGGACAAGACCGGAGAGCGGCCUUGUAAGGGUGGAGAGUGGUCCCCGGCCGACAGCUACCAAGACCACGGGGAACUUCAGUCCAAUGACCGCAAGGAACUGAAUUCUGCCAACGACGUGAGUGAGUUUGGAAGUGGCUCCUUCCCCAGUUGAGCCUCAGAUGAGAACGCAGCCCUGGCCAGCGCUCUGAGGGCAGUCCCAUGAGACCCAGCCACGCAGCGUCCACACUUCCGGCUUGCAGAACCAGGUGCUGAUAAACACCUGUGGCUUAAGCGGCUAGAUCUAUAGCGACUUGUUACGCACCAACAGCUAGCUGCUACGCCCUUCAUGUGACGGCAGGGCAGGGUGCCCUCGGGUUUCAUAGUCACUCUCAUAUUCAGCCACACACAAGGGGGUGCUCCCGUGGCCCAGGAAAUUCCAAGGGUUUGGGGAGCUGUGAGCCAGGAAGCGCGGAGGAAGGCCAAAAGAUGGAUUUAUUACAAACGACAAUGUCACACCUCCCAGAGGCCCCACCUCCGAUGACUAUCACACUGGGGGUUAGGUUGUAACGUUUGAACUUUGGGGGGACACCAGUGGAAAUCAGAAGCAAUUAGUGAUUCACUCUAUGGUGAUCAGAGACAAGUUCCCAACAUGCCAGCCACCAGUGGGCCCUGCCCUCAGGCCCCCGUCUGUCCCCCGACUCCUGAGCACACCCCACCUGGGCCCUCUUAACCCCCACCUCCCACCAUCCUGGUGGCCCCUGCAGGCAGAUGCAACAGCGUCAGCCUCCAGGGACCUGGCCCACGGGCGUUUGUUGACUGAAAGAAUGAAGCAGGGCGGAAGGGCGAGGAAGAGCCGAGGCCAUGGCCUCAACGCCCACUGGCUCAGUGGGAUCAGGCCGGGGUGUUGCAGGGACCACCCGAAUGAGCCCCCCCUUGGCCUCAUCACGGCCCCCCCACUUCCCCCCGCCCACCACUGUCUUGUCAUAUGUGACUGUCACCCCUGUGUGCUUUGAGUCAAAGGAGGCCCUCAGUUCAAUGACUCUCCGGAUGAGCGUCUACGUGCCUCACCCGCACGCAUCCUCAGGGAGGCUGACUGUGCGAGCGGUUGCCUAGCAACAAGCACGUGCCUGGGGAUGUGGUGGUCCAGGUGCCUCUAAUGCCGGCCGGGCUCUUCCCCUUCCAGCUGCCCCGCCCACGGACCCCCUGCUCCAGAGAUCUUGGAUGGGAACUUCUCUGGGCCUCGAUUUUCAAACCAGUAAAAUGAGGCGGUGUUAGCGCUAACCAAGCCGGGACAGGACGACCGAGCCCGCAGGGUCCGAAAGAGAGGGCUCGUGGAUCGGGACUCAGCAGAACAACUUGUCCAUGGAAAGAACUGAUAAUAACGUGGAUUUCAACACGCCCAGGACGCACUGAAGGCGGGCAACCCAGCAGGGGAAGGCGCAUGCCCCGAUUUCCAACGCUGGGGCUGGAGCUGGCCCCACACAAGGGCCACCCUCUCGAGAUAAAGGGCGCCGGGAGCGCUUUCCGCAGAAACGCUCAAGAGCCCCCGGGAGCUAUCAGAGAAGCACGCUCUGCCGCUCGGAGGUCACCGAGUUCUUCUGUGCUCAAGGCAGGGAGCCAGAGGGCUGGGCAAACGCUUCCCCAGGCCAGGGGCCCCCUCAGCACUGUGACCUCGGGGCCGGGUCAUCUCUGGGGGGCCGUCCUGGGGGAUGUGGGGGGUUGAGCAGCAUCCCUGGCCCCACCCACUCGAUGCCAGGAGCACCCCCAGUGUGACAACCACAGAUGUCCCCAGACAUCACUCAGUAUCCCCUGGGCGCAAGAUUGCCCUCAAUUAAGAAUCGUAGGUAUAGCCCAAUUUAUGCAAAAUAUUAUGAUUUCCACUUAUGGCCACAUUUCAGGCACCCAAGGGCCCCCUUAUAGAAAGGCACAGCUCUGGACACUGAGUUCAGCUCAACAGCGAUGUCACAUAUGAAAGGAAAGCUGAGACCAGGUGACUCGCAAGGUGAAAGGUCAGUGUCCUCCAGGGCAGGGCCUUAGAGGUGUCCUUCAGAAGCCCUUUGCACUGCAUGGCCACCAUGCUGUGGGGACACUCGCUAGCCACCCCAUGAGGCAGCAGUCACCCGGCUGUGGUCCCAGCCCCUCAGAGCUUCCGAGCCGAUGGGAAGAUGCACACAGGGGAAACCGAACCACGUCCAAAAACUGAGUGUGAGAGGAGCCAGCAAGCAGGGGGCCCACCUGGGUGGUCUCGCCCCCAGGGGACACUGGGCGAUGUCUGGGGACAUCUGUGAUUAUCACACUGGGGGAGCUCCUGGCAUCGAGUUGGUGGAGACCAGGGAUGCUGCUCAACCCCCUACAGGACCCAGGACGGCUCUGUCCCAGGGAAUGCCCAGCCCUGAUGUCAUAGAAGGUGAGACCCCACUACGGGUCCACAAUCUCACUAGAACGUUAGCUCCAUGAGAGCUGGGGUUUUGCUCAUCCUGGUGACUGCUGUGUCGCCAGAGCCUGGCCCAGGCAGACACUCGGAAGUCCUUGCUGAGGGAACAAGUGAAGUCUUUUUUUUUUUUUUUUUUUUUUUGGUGAGGAAGAUUGGCCCUGAGCUAACAUCUG